UGGUUAGUCCCGCAACGAGCGCAACCCCUAUUGUUAGUUGCCAUCAUUCGAGUUGGGCACUCUAGCGAGACCGCCGGUAAUAAACCGGAGGAAGGUGGGGAUGACGUCAAAUCAUCAUGCCCCUUAUGACCUGGGCUACACACGUGCUACAAUGGUUGGUACAACGAGUUGCGAGUCGGUGACGGCGAGCUAAUCUCUUAAAGCCAAUCUCAGUUCGGAUUGUAGGCUGCAACUCGCCUACAUGAAGUCGGAAUCGCUAGUAAUCGCGGAUCAGCACGCCGCGGUGAAUACGUUCCCGGGCCUU
rnacentral:rRNA from 1 species